GAGUUUGAUCCUGGCUCAGAUUGAACGCUGGCGGCAUGCCUUACACAUGCAAGUCGGACGGCAGCACGGGAGCAAUCCUGGUGGCGAGUGGCGAACGGGUGAGUAAUACAUCGGAACGUGUCCUGGAGUGGGGGAUAGCCCGGCGAAAGCCGGAUUAAUACCGCAUACGCUCUGAGGAGGAAAGCGGGGGAUCUUUCGGGACCUCGCGCUCAAGGGGCGGCCGAUGGCAGAUUAGCUAGUUGGUGGGGUAAAGGCCUACCAAGGCGACGAUCUGUAGCUGGUCUGAGAGGACGACCAGCCACACUGGGACUGAGACACGGCCCAGACUCCUACGGGAGGCAGCAGUGGGGAAUUUUGGACAAUGGGCGCAAGCCUGAUCCAGCAAUGCCGCGUGUGUGAAGAAGGCCUUCGGGUUGUAAAGCACUUUUGUCCGGAAAGAAAACCUCGGUCCUAAUACGGCGGGGGGAUGACGGUACCGGAAGAAUAAGCACCGGCUAACUACGUGCCAGCAGCCGCGGUAAUACGUAGGGUGCAAGCGUUAAUCGGAAUUACUGGGCGUAAAGCGUGCGCAGGCGGUCCGUUAAGACAGAUGUGAAAUCCCCGGGCUUAACCUGGGAACUGCAUUUGUGACUGGCGGACUCGAGUAUGGCAGAGGGGGGUAGAAUUCCACGUGUAGCAGUGAAAUGCGUAGAGAUGUGGAGGAAUACCGAUGGCGAAGGCAGCCCCCUGGGCCAAUACUGACGCUCAUGCACGAAAGCGUGGGGAGCAAACAGGAUUAGAUACCCUGAUAGUCCACGCCCUAAACGAUGUCAACUGGUUGUCGGGCCUUCAUUGGCUUGGUAACGAAGCUAACGCGUGAAGUUGACCAAUCACUA
rnacentral:rRNA from 1 species